rnacentral:lncRNA from 1 species
GUGGCUGACGCCUGCAAUCCCAACAAUUUGGGAGGCCAAGGUGGGCAGAUUACUUGACGUCAGGAGUUUGAGAUCAGCCUUGCCAAUAUGGCGAAACCCUGUUUCUACUAAAAAUACAAAAAUUAGCUGGGCAUGGUGGUGGGCACCUGUAAUCCCAGUUACCCAGGAGGCUGAGACAGGAGAAUCACUUGAACCUGGGAGGCGGAGGUUGUAGUGAGCCAAAAUUGUACCAUUGCACUCCAGCCUGGGUGACAAGAGCAAAACUCUGUCUCAAUUGAAAAAAAAAAGACAUAUGGAUACAAACAGCCAAUAAACAUGAAAAAAAAAUGCUCAACAUCACUAAUUAUCAGGGAAAUGCAAAUGAACACCACAAUGAACUACCACAGUACUCCUGCAAGAAUGGCCGUAAUUAAAAAGUCAAAAAAUAAUAGAUGUUGAUGUGGAUGUGGUGAAAAGGGAACACUUUUACUCUGCUAGUGGGAAUGUAAACUAGUACAACCACUAUGAAAAACAGUGUGGAGAUACCUUAGAGAACUAAAAAUAGAGCUACCAUUUCCAUCCAGAAAUCCCAUUGCUGGGUAUCUACCAAAAGGAAAAGAAGUUAUUAUAUGAAUAAGACACCUGCAUGCAUAUGGGUAUAGCAGCACAGUUCACAACUGCCAAAAUAUGGAACUAAUCAUAUUCAAUCAACCAUGUUCCGAAAUGUGGAACCAACCAUAUUCAAUCAAUGCGUGGAUAAAGAAAAUGUGGUAUAUAUACACCAUGGAAUACCACUCAGCCAUAAAAAAGGAUGAGAUGUCUUUUGCAGCAACUUGGAUGGAGCUGGAGACCAUUAUUCUAAGUGAAGUAACUCAGGAAUGGAAAAACCAAAUACCGUAUGUUCUCACUUAUAAGUGGGAGCUAAGCUAUGAAGAUGCAAAGGCAUAAGAAUGACAUAAUGGGGGCCGGGUGUGGUGGCUCAUGCCUGUAAUCCCAGCACUUUGGGAGGCUUAGGUGGACGGAUGGUGAGGUCAAGAGAUCGAGACCAUCCUGGCCAACAUGGUGAAACCCCAUCUCUACUAAAAAUACAAAUUAGCUGGGCAUAGUGGUGCACACCUGUAAUCCCAGCUACUUGGGAGGUUGAGGCAGGAGAAUCGCUUGAACCUGGGAGGAAGAGGUUGCAGUGAGCCGAGAUUAUGCCACUGCACUCCAGCCUGGGCUACUCCGUCUCAAAAAAAAAAAAAAAAAAAAAAAAAAA